CCUACGGGUGGCAGCAGUGAGGAAUAUUGGUCAAUGGACGAGAGUCUGAACCAGCCAAGUAGCGUGAAGGAUGACUGCCCUAUGGGUUGUAAACUUCUUUUAUAUGGGAAUAAAAUGUUCCACGUGUGGGAUUUUGUAUGUACCAUAUGAAUAAGGAUCGGCUAACUCCGUGCCAGCAGCCGCGGUAAUACGGAGGAUCCGAGCGUUAUCCGGAUUUAUUGGGUUUAAAGGGAGAGUAGGUGGAUUGUUAAGUCAGUUGUGAAAGUUUGCGGGUCAACCGUAAAAUUGCAGUUGAAACUGGCAGUCGUGAGUACAGGAGAGGUGGGCGGGAGUCGUGGUGUAGCGGUGAAAUGCUUAGAUAUCACGAAGAACUCCGAUUGCGAAGGCAGCUCACUGGACUGCAACUGACACUGAGGCUCGAAAGGGUGGGUAUCAAACAGGAAUAGAUACCCCGGUAGUC
rnacentral:rRNA from 1 species